UACGUAGGGUGCGAGCGUUUAAUCGGAAUUACUGGGCGUAAAGCGUGCGCAGGCGGUUCGUUGUGUCGGCGGUGAAAGCCCCGGGCUUAACCUGGGAAUGGCCGUUGAAACUGGCGAACUGGAGUGUGGCAGAGGGGGGUGGAAUUCCCGGUGUAGCGGUGAAAUGCGUAGAGAUCGGGAGGAACAUCAGUGGCGAAGGCGGCUCUCUGGGACGGUACUGACGCUGAGACGCGAAAGCGUGGGGGAGCGAACAGG
rnacentral:rRNA from 1 species